GCCUACGGCCAUGGCACCCUAAACAAGCCUGAUCUCGUCUGAUCUCUAGAAGCUAAGCAGGGUCGGGCCUGGUUAGCACUUGGAUGGGAGACCACCUAGGAAGACCAGGUGCUGCAGGCU
rnacentral:rRNA from 1 species